GGCAAUUUGAACCAAAGGAGGGAUGACUAUGUCAAUGUAUGAAAAGGGAAUGGAGUAGAGAGUUGCAUAAAUUAAUUGCAGCUGAGGCUUCUCUUAGUCCAGACCUUGUGUAUCGUUGUAUUGGUUAUAUUUCUAAAUCUAUGAUUCCCAUGGCUAAUGUAGUUAACACUCAUCCUUAAGGAAAGUGUUGUCACUGCUUAGCCAUAUACUUUCCCCAAAUUUCCUUGUAAGACUUCAACAAUCUGACUCAUUUUUGGCCGAUAUUUUGCAGGUUUAUAUAUACAGGCUGCGGCACAAUAAAUCAUUCGAAUCAUUUCUAUUUUGCUAUAAUUAUUCUUUAAUUUGACAUCAACAAUAUUACUAUAAUUGUCUGUGUCCAAAGCUUCUUUGAGUUGAACUGCUACCCAAGAAGUCAAGGCUUGAAAAUUGCCUUCCCUUGAAAUAGGCUUUUUACCAGUGAUUAACUCUAAAAGCACCACACCAAAGGAAUAUACAUCAGUCUUAUCACUGAUCUGUUGGGUUCUGAAAUAUUCAGGGCAAAGAUAACCAAAG
rnacentral:misc_RNA from 1 species